UAAUACGAAGGGACCUAGCGUAGUUCGGAAUUACUGGGCUUAAAGAGUUCGUAGGUGGUUAAAAAAGUUGGUGGUGAAAUCCCAGAGCUUAACUCUGGAACUGCCAUCAAAACUUUUUAGCUAGAGUAUGAUAGAGGAAAGCAGAAUUUCUAGUGUAGAGGUGAAAUUCGUAGAUAUUAGAAAGAAUACCAAUUGCGAAGGCAGCUUUCUGGAUCAUUACUGACACUGAGGAACGAAAGCAUGGGUAGCGAAGAGGAUUAGAUACCCUCGUAGUCCAUGCCGUAACGAUGUGUGCUAGAUGUUGGAAAUUUAUUUUCAGUAUCGCAGCGAAAGCAAUAAACACACCGCCUGGGGAGUACGACCGCAAGGUUA
rnacentral:rRNA from 1 species